CUCAGCACGAAGGGUGGGUGGAGCCCCGGGCUCAGCCCUCAAACUUCUUCUUGCGGCCCUCCAUUCCACUCAGCGCGUCGAUGUUCUUCCGCCAGUCUCCCACCUCCCGGUUCUCCUGGAGGUGAGAGGUCAGAAGCUCUGACUUCCAGAUGUUCCUCGGGGCCCUUCCGUCAAAGUUUCUGACACAGCUCAGCCCAGCAAUGUGCAGAUCAUGACUGCCUGACCCAGGUCUCCACUCAUUUACUACUACUCCGUACUUGAGUCACCCUUCUCCACAGACCUGUGUAUGCCACCCAGGCUCCGCCUCGCGUGUGCUGUCUCUGCAGAAACAGCUUCCUUUGCCAAGGUGUAGCCCCUCCACUAAUUCUAUCAAGCACAAGCAGACGGAGCCCUCAGCCUGAAGGGACAGACCUGGAGACCUCAGUCUACCAUGUAGGUGCCCAGACUUCCCCAAGGUCCCCACCUCGGUGAUGUUUUUGGUGACUUUUGCUUCCACAUCGUAUCUCUCUUCAUCCACUUUGUCCACCCGGGCAUGGAGCUGCCGGCAUAAGUCCUGAUGAAGAAAUGCAUGCGUGUUGAGAGGGAGGCUGGCUGGAGACGGGGUUCCCUGGCCUGAGGGAGGAGGCCUUGGAUCUAGAUCCCUGGGUCUGAGGGAGGAGGCCUGGGCUCUACAUCCCUGAGUUUGAGAGAGACGUGCUGAGGUCUGGACUCCUGCACCUGAGGAAAGCGGGGCUGGAAGGAAGCAAGAUUGGAAUCCGGACUCCAGGAAACUUAAAGAAAUGUGGCUAGGAACCAAGAAUCCUGAGACUUGGCAGGCAACGGUUGGAGCAAUACACUGGGGUUUUUUGUUGUUGUU